GACCGCGACCCCAGGUCAGGCGGGACGACCC
rnacentral:rRNA from 1 species